rnacentral:rRNA from 1 species
UUCCGGUUGAUCCUGCCGGACCCGACUGCUAUCAGAGUGGGACUAAGCCAUGCGAGUCAACGCAGCAAUGCGUGGCACACGGCUCAGUAACACGUAGUCAACAUGCCCAGGGGACGUGGAUAACCUCGGGAAACUGAGGAUAAACCGCGAUAGGCCAAGGUUUCUGGAAUGGACACUGGCUGAAACCUACAUGGCCCCUGGAUUGGACUGCGGCCGAUCAGGCUGUUGGUGAGGUAAUGGCCCACCAAACCUGUAACCGGUACGGGCUUUGAGAGAAGGAGCCCGGAGAUGGGCACUGAGACAAGGGCCCAGGCCCUAUGGGGCGCAGCAGGCGCGAAAAUUCUGCAAUAGGCGAAAGCUUGACAGAGUUACUCUGAGUGAUGCCCGCUAAGGGCAUCUUUUGGCACCUCUAAAAAUGGUGCAGAAUAAGGGGUGGGCAAGUCUGGUGUCAGCCGCCGCGGUAAUACCAGCACCCCGAGUGGUCGGGACGAUUAUUGGGCCUAAAGCAUCCGUAGCCGGCUUUGCAAGUCUCCGGUUAAAUCCAGCUGCCUAACAGAUGGGCUGCCGGAGAUACUACAAAGCUAGGGAGCGGGAGAGGCAGACGGUAUUCGGUGGGUAGGGGUAAAAUCCUCUGAUCCAUUGAGGACCACCAGUGGCGAAGGCGGUCUGCCAGAACGCGUUCGACGGUGAGGGAUGAAAGCUGGGGGAGCAAACCGGAUUAGAUACCCGGGUAGUCCCAGCUGUAAACGAUGCAAACUCGGUGAUGCAUUGGCUUAUGGCCAAUGCAGUGCCGCAGGGAAGCCGUUAAGUUUGCCGCCUGGGAAGUACGUACGCAAGACUGAAACUUAAAGGAAUUGGCGGGGGAGCACCACAAGGGGUGAAGCCUGCGGUUCAAUUGGAUUCAACGCCGGA